ensembl:lncRNA
UGGAUGUUCCAAAACGUUGUGUCCUGCUGAACGCGCCCCUGUUCUUGACUUUUAGCACUUUUGCGCGUAUCUUGUUUUGACGAGAAACCGCAAAGAAGCUGCCUCCUCGACCUAUUUUAAAACACGGUACAUUUACUGAGACGCAGUGAUGGACCAGAAUAAAGUCUAUGGUUGGUAGUGGGAUCUUCCUUUCUUCAUCACACGAGGGAGGGGUAGCCUGCCUUUACUGCCCUCUUCACAGAUACCUGCCUCCUCCUUGGAGGGAAACAAUCCUCAGUCAUAGGAAAUCCGCCUCUCCUGAUUUGAGGAAAAUGUUUCACCCUGGGAGAGAGAACCAUCAAACGGGACCAAGGACAAGACCCGUAAUAACAAGUGCACAAAACACGCAGCACGAAAGCUGGAACAAAGCACAGGUAGGAGAGAGCGAGGUAAGUUGUCAAACUGUUCGUACCUCCAACACUAGAGGCGC